rnacentral:snRNA from 1 species
AGCUUUGCGCAGUGGCAGUAUCAUAGCCAAUGAGGUUUAUCCGAGGCGCGAUUAUUGCUAAUUGGAAAAGAUGUGUCUUUUUUUUUUUUCUAUGUUUGAUUUUUUUGGUUUUUGCUAUCAGG